rnacentral:rRNA from 1 species
AUUGAACGCUGGCGGCAGGCCUAACACAUGCAAGUCGAGCGGAUGAGUGGAGCUUGCUCCAUGAUUCAGCGGCGGACGGGUGAGUAAUGCCUAGGAAUCUGCCUGGUAGUGGGGGACAACGUUUCGAAAGGAACGCUAAUACCGCAUACGUCCUACGGGAGAAAGCAGGGGACCUUCGGGCCUUGCGCUAUCAGAUGAGCCUAGGUCGGAUUAGCUAGUUGGUGAGGUAAAGGCUCACCAAGGCGACGAUCCGUAACUGGUCUGAGAGGAUGAUCAGUCACACUGGAACUGAGACACGGGCCAGACUCCUACGGGAGGCAGCAGUGGGGAAUAUUGGACAAUGGGCGAAAGCCUGAUCCAGCCAUGCCGCGUGUGUGAAGAAGGUCUUCGGAUUGUAAAGCACUUUAAGUUGGGAGGAAGGGCAGUAAGUUAAUACCUUGCUGUUUUGACGUUACCGACAGAAUAAGCACCGGCUAACUUCGUGCCAGCAGCCGCCGUAACAC